GCAGAUUCUCCUUAACAAUUCUGUGAGUUUGCUUUUGCUUAAAAAAAGAGAAAGAUGGAUGUUGGACUAAUGGCUGCCUACUGCGAGGAGCAUAUCCUCGUUAUUAUGGCAAUCUUUUGUAUUUUUGUUACGUGUUAUAUUUGUCCCAAAUAUUUGACAUAUCUGCUAACUGGCUAUUUUUAACAAAAAGAGCUGAGUCCAUUUUUAUUUAAAUAUAAAGCUAAUAUUGUUAUGUUUUCGUGA